GACGAACGCUGGCGGCGUGCUUAACACAUGCAAGUCGAACGCUGAAGACCUGGCUUUUGUUGGGUUGGAUGAGUGGCGAACGGGUGAGUAACACGUGAGUAACCUGCCCUCUUCUUUGGGAUAACGCCCGGAAACGGGUGCUAAUACUGGAUAUUCACUGAUCUUCGCAUGGGGGUUGGUGGAAAGGUUUGUUCUGGUGGGGGAUGGGCUCGCGGCCUAUCCGCUUGUUGGUGGGGUGAUGGGCUACCAAGGCUUUGACGGGUAGCCGGCCUGAGAGGGUGACCGGUCACAUUGGCACUGGGAUACGGCCCAGACUCCUACGGGAGGCAGCAGUGGGGAAUAUGGCACAAUGGGCGAAAGACUGAUGCAGCGACGCCGCGUGAGGGAUGGAGGCCUUCGGGUUGUAAACCUCUUUCGCUCAUGGUCAAGCCGCAACUGUGGGUUGUGGUGACGGUAGUGGGUAAAGAAGCGCCGGCUAACUACGUG
rnacentral:rRNA from 1 species